GCGGGUGUAGUUCAGUGGUAGAACGUCUCCUUGCCAAGGAGAAGGUCGUGAGUUCAAAUCUCAUCACCCGCU
rnacentral:tRNA from 1 species